rnacentral:rRNA from 1 species
UACGUAGGGACCAAGCGUUGUUCGGAUUUACUGGGCGUAAAGGGCGCGUAGGCGGCUUAACAAGUCACUUGUGAAAUCUCCGGGCUUAACUCGGAACUGCCAAGUGAAACUGUCAAGCUAGAGUGCAGAAGGGGCAAUCGGAAUUCUUGGUGUAGCGGUGAAAUGACGUAGAUAUCAAGAGGAACACCUGAGGUGAAGACGGGUUGCUGGGCUGACACUGACGCUGAGGCGCGAAAGCCAGGGGAGCAAACGGG